AACCCAGUGCAAUUCGUUGCACUAUCGUUAACUGAAUACAUAGGUUAACGAGGCGAACCGGGGGAACUGAAACAUCUAAGUACCCCGAGGAAAAGAAAUCAACCGAGAUUCCCCCAGUAGCGGCGAGCGAACGGGGAGCAGCCCAGAGUCUGAAUCAGCUUGUGUGUUAGUGGAACGGUCUGGAAAGUCCGACGGUACAGGGUGAUAGUCCCGUACACCAAAAUGCACAGGCUGUGAACUCGAAGAGUAGGGCGGGACACGUGGUAUCCUGUCUGAAUAUGGGGGGACCAUCCUCCAAGGCUAAAUACUCCUGACUGACCGAUAGUGAACCAGUACCGUGAGGGAAAGGCGAAAAGAACCCCGGCGAGGGGAGUGAAAAAGAACCUGAAACCGUGUACGUACAAGCAGUGGGAGCACCUUCGGGUGUGACUGCGUACCUUUUGUAUAAUGGGUCAGCGACUUAUAUUCUGUAGCAAGGUUAACCGUAUAGGGGAGCCGCAGGGAAACCGAGUCUUAACUGGGCGUUAAGUUGCAGGGUAUAGACCCGAAACCCGGUGAUCUAGCCAUGGGCAGGUUGAAGGUUGGGUAACACUAACUGGAGGACCGAACCGACUAAUGUUGAAAAAUUAGCGGAUGACUUGUGGCUGGGGGUGAAAGGCCAAUCAAACCGGGAGAUAGCUGGUUCUCCCCGAAAGCUAUUUAGGUAGCGCCUCGUGAACUCAUCUUCGGGGGUAGAGCACUGUUUCGGCUAGGGGGUCAUCCCGACUUACCAACCCGAUGCAAACUACGAAUACCGAAGAAUGUUAUCACGGGAGACACACGGCGGGUGCUAACGUCCGUCGUGAAGAGGGAAACAACCCAGACCGCCAGCUAAGGUCCCAAAGUCAUGGUUAAGUGGGAAACGAUGUGGGAAGGCACAGACAGCCAGGAUGUUGGCUUAGAAGCAGCCAUCAUUUAAAGAAAGCGUAAUAGCUCACUGGUCGAGUCGGCCUGCGCGGAAGAUGUAACGGGGCUAAACCAUGCACCGAAGCUGCGGCAGCGACACUAUGUGUUGUUGGGUAGGGGAGCG
rnacentral:rRNA from 1 species